CCCCAGUGCGCCUGCGCGCCGCUCAGCCUGCCGCGGACCCACGAGGCACCUAGGCGCACCUCCGCCCUGCAUGCUGUCCCCGAGUUGCAGUACUUACUCCCACCGCCCCGAGUGAAAACCAUGUCCCCAGUGAGACAGGUUGCAAUAAAAACCAAGUCAUAGUGGGUCUUGAGUAUGCUGCAGCUAGGAAUCUGGUGCCUGAGAAGGGACAUGGUAAUGAGAUUUAUGAGGAGGAAGUGAGGAAGAGACCCCUGGGCAAGAAGUCACCAACAUCGAACCAGACCUUCAGGACAGGUGGAAUUGGAGCAACCCUCUAGGUUACAGAUAGCAUGCUUGCCUGGCAAUCCUCAAAACCUCAUCAGGAAGGUGGGCAAAGUGAAAGGUUAAACACCAGAACCAACCCAUCUGAGUAAACCAAUGUGGAGGACUUCGGCUGUCUGCUACUAGGAUCUGGUUACAGAAGAACCUCUUAAUGAGUGCUGCAUUCAGAUUCGAGAGAGUUAUUAUUAUUGUCUGCACGAAUAAGUUCACCCAGCUCCUUUCACUCCCUGCCUUAGGUCAUUGGAAAGGCUAGUGACAGAUGCCAGGCAGAGGAAGUGAGCAGCGGUUCCCCUUCAGCCACAUGGUCACAAGAGGAAACACCAAUGUUCUCAGUAAACUGUGUUGCUAAGCUAGGGUGUUCAAUG
rnacentral:lncRNA from 1 species